CUGAUCUAGUAUAGAAACGCAAAACAAAUAUGCUUUGAUCUUCUCACUGACACCAUGUUUUCUCCCCCGAUUAGGAAGACUGAAGGGAAAAGAGGAUGUGUGGAGGCUGUGGAGGGAGAUGAGGAUUCAGGGAGACUGCGGAGGGAGAGGAGGAUGCAGGGAGGCUGUGGAGGGAGAGGAGGAUGCAGGGAGGCUGUGCAGGGAGGCUGUGCAGGGAGGCUGUGGAGGGAGAGGAGGAUGCAGGGAGGCUGUGGAGGGAGAGGAGGAUGCAGGAGGCUGUGGAGGGAGAUGAGGAUGCAGGGAGGCUGUGGAGGGAAAGGAGGAUGCAGGGAGGCUGUGGAGGGAGAGGAGGAUGCAGGGAGGCUGUGGAGGGAGAGGAGGAUGCAGGGAGGCUGUGGAGGGAGAGGAGGAUGCAGGGAGGCUGUGGAGGGAGAGGAGGAUGCAGGGAGGCUGUGGAGGGAGAGGAGGAUGCAGGGAGGCUGUGGAGGGAGGCUGUGGAGGGAGAGGAGGAUGAAGGGAGGCUGUGGAGGGAGGAUGGGGAGGCUGUGGAUGA
ensembl:lncRNA